CAAAUUGAGUGGAGAAACAUGUGGCACCAGUACCAUUCAGAACAUAAAGAUUUCCAUCUUCUUUAAUUGCAACAACUCCACUGGAAGAAUCCGAAAUUGUGAUUUCCCUAUUGGCAACCCACACAACCCAAUUUCUCGGAAA